UGAUAAGGAUCAAUGUAACUAUAACCCAUUUUUAGGCAAACUUCAAAGUAUUUAAGUAGCUCUUACUAUAUGGGAGGUUGCAAAAACAAACAAAACAAAAUGCUUCUUCCUUACUGAAUAGCCAAUUAUACAGAUAACUACGAAAAUUUCUAGCCGAUUUGAUGAACACGUAAACAUAAACACUAACCAAGACCAGCUGAUGGAUCUCUCGGACGAGCAUCAGCAUCUACUGGAGGUGGCCUGAUUAUACGAUCAAUUAGCCCAUAUUCAAGCGCCUCCUGAGCAUUGAAGCGUUUCAUUCUGCUCAAGUCCUUGUUAAUCUUCUCAGCAGGUUGUCCUGUUUUCUUAGCCAACUCGUUGUAAAGGUAGUCCUUGAUCCUAAGAAGCUCAUUUGCUUCAUUUCGAAUGUCAUCAGCCUGACCACGAGCAGCCCCUGCAGGUGAUUGUAGAGCAAUUCUUGAAAGAGGCAUUGCAGAGCGAUUUCCCUUUUCCCCAGCAGCAAGAAUAAAGCCUGCUAGAUUAUAGGCAAAUCCCACACAGUGGGUACCAACAGGACUUUUUAAGCUCUGCAUAGUAUCAUAGAUAGCUAAGGUUGGAGUAAGGUCUCCACCAGGACCAUUAAUGUACAAAUAGAUCCUUUUGGAAUCAUCGAUAG
rnacentral:misc_RNA from 1 species